rnacentral:lncRNA from 1 species
GGACAACUCUAGGGGUGGACAGCCAGGUUCCAGUGUGCUUCUGCCCAGCCUAGAAAAGCUCCCUCAGCAACACCACGGCUUCUCUCCCUACGGAUGGAGGGAAGUUCCCAACAUAUUCUCACAUUCCUCCAGUUAAAAACUUCCCACCCACAGACAUCCCAGAGCAUCCCUUUGGAGAACGAAACACAAAGGGAAUCCAAGAUGAUGCUUGGCUUCCUGCUGCUGAGACAAAUAGUGAGGCUGUUAAACUCUACCAUUGUCCCACGUCCUUUAGAGUGGAAAGAGUUUGUACUCCUUGCUCUAAGAUUUACGCAGCAGUGCUCUCCAACGCC